UAGUGUGACACGUGUUGAUAUUUCUGAC
rnacentral:piRNA from 1 species